rnacentral:misc_RNA from 1 species
GCGAUUUCUCAUUUCUCUGUGUUUUCCUUUCUCUACCAUAUGUGAAGUAUAUCGGGUCAUUUCUCUUCUCCGCUCAUCGGCUCCCCCGUGAACUGCCGUCGUGCCAACUUCAGGACGCAUUUGUUUCCGAUGAGAUUUUCACUGCAAACAUCAAUUAAGGAUUUCGAUUUUCAUCAGAGCACACGAGAACCGUAGAUUUUGACCUCAAAAACCCUAGCAAUCAGGUUUGGUGUUUCUGCUGGAUGUGAAUUUUAGGCCUUGAAUUAGCUAUUUUCUGGAUCUUGAUACAUUAGCACUAUAGCUACCCGUUAUUGUUCAGUUGUAUUCUCUCUCUUUUGCUCAGCCGGCAGAAAUAUGCAGAAGAGUGGGAAUCUUGUUAAAAAUAAUUCUUUGAAAAUUACAACUCAGCAGUCUCUUCGACGUCUUGGUUUAUGUUCCCAGAUUACAUCUGGGCAGCAUUCAUCUCCGGUUGUUUUCCCUGAAAAACGAAGCAAAGGAAGGAGUCUGACACGUGGAGAACUUAGUCUGAGUAAUAAUGAUUCUAAGAAAGAGAAAAAUGAGGAGCAUAGGAUUGACAUUGGGGAUGAGCAGUCUGACCUGCUUGGAUAUGAAGUAUUUUCUGGAAAGCUGGUUUUGGACAAGGGAAAGACAUAUAAAAAUUCGGAGUUAGAAGCCUCAAAGGAGGUUACUAGCCAGGAUGCUGUUGAAGCCAAACUUACGAGCAAGGCUAUGGUUUGGGGUUCUAGUAUGCUGCAUCUAGAAGAUGUUAUUUCGGUAUCACACUGUCCUGGACUCCGGCAUUUCACCAUCCAUUCAUAUCCUCUGAGAAGAGGUUCCGGUGCUCUUUCUUGUUUUUUAAAAUCUCGAAGAAGUCAGAAGGACUUCCGCUUCUUAGCUUCUUCAUCCGAGGAAGCACUUCAAUGGGUAAAUGCAUUUGCAGAUCAACACUGUUAUGUGAAUUUACUGCCUCAUCCUCUGGCUUCAUCAAAGAAGCAGGCUUCUGAUUUGGUUACUAAUGAAUUUCCUCCUGAGUCAUAUGUACGAUGUAAAAAUCCUCCUAAAAUGCUUGUCAUUCUAAACCCAAGGUCUGGUCGAGGUCGUUCAAGU